ensembl:lncRNA
GCAGAGAUAAUUUUACACCAAUGAGGACUUAUUUAUGAAUGAAUACGUUGAUUUGAGGUCUAUCUUGGAUAUUUAACUGCAGUUCUGUGAGUACCCCAACUUAACCAUGAAGAUGAACUGCAAACUGUAAGUCAUUAAUUUCUCAUUAAUCUUGGGCACAUUGAUGUAUUUUGGCUUCCUGGUGGGUUAACCUGUUACCUGAAGGUUGAUCUGAGUAGUAAGGAUGUUUUAUUGGUUCAUGGGUUACUUAGGUGUUUGGUUUAUGUUGGUUUUAAUGAUUUGUUAAAAUGGUUACAGGCUCCAAGUUAUUGUUGUAAGAUGGAGUAAUGGGUUUGGUUCUGAUAUUUUUAGUCUUCUUUCAUUCUACUCUCCUGAGCUCUGCAUCUUCAUCACAUGAGUGUUGCUCUACUGUGAGGGUGUGGUCUGAGUGAGCAGAGGUGCAUACUGGGAUACAGAGCUGUCUCGAGUCUACAGGUCUGUAGACACGCCCCCUCAGGGGAAACCGAGUGUUUGAGAAAGCGUCGUGACGUCAGUUACAUGGACUGGAAUGUUCUUAAAGAUGGAGACGGGGAUUCAGAAGGAGAAACACCAGGGGGAGAUGAGGGGGCUCCUCAUCUCAACGACUAAAACACAACUUCAGUCUGACAAAGAGAACCAUGGAACACAUUCAACCGUCCCCUCCAGGCAUCGUGACUCCUCAGGAACAGUUUCAUUUCCAAGAAGGUCUUAUCUGGGGCCAUCCCCAUAUGGAUCCUGCUCCUCAAGAGCCACACCCCUCCACUGGGUUGUCUUCUGAACAGAUGAUCUCCUUCCUGUCCUCAGGCUGACUAAAGCUGCACCGUUUGCAUCUGUGAAGGCCCCUCAAUCACUAAACCACUGGACUACAAAAACAUGACUUCAGAGAUGUUGAAUCAACCUGGGACACAUUUUGGAGACGCCAAGCAUAAUCCAUCACCAAUGUGGGACGCCACUGAAGAAUGCUGUACAUAAUUUACGUCUCUGGAGACAUUGGUUGUUCUGUUCUGGGUGCCCUGGCAGGAGAGCUGGGGGUGGAUGAUGGAAUGUAAUUUGCUAUGAGGUUUUUACCCUGCAUGAUUGUCUGGCCUUUUAUGGCUCAGUGGUGUGUGUGUUUGGGUUUGACAUGAGAUGGAAGAUUUUUGAGCAUCUCUAGGGUUCUACUGUGUGUGUCUCCCACUCACACCUGGCAUGGCGUUCUACGUGCCUGUCCUGGAUUCUAUGUGUGUGUGUCCGGCUUGCUUUGACAGUGAUGAUGUUCAUACAGGGGUCUGUGUGAUUGGCUUGGGAUAUUGGAAUGGUCAACUAAAUCAUACCUGAUGGACGGCCACAUGUUUACUUAAGGGCCUCCAGUAGACAUGAAGAGCCCUGAGCGAUGCUCCGGAGCGAGAUCCAACACACUGGGCAGGAAGGAGGGUAACCAACUCAAGUGUAAAAGGAUGCAAGCGGCGUGUUCAGAUCAGUGACUUCAAACUAGGACUACACCAAUCAGGAUCAAUGGAGGAUUGACACCUAAAGGAAUUCCACAAGGAGAGUCUGACGUUGGAAAGGGACCUCAAUGGAUGUUCAUGAUGACCUUCAGACCUGUAAUGAGACGGCUCUUCCUACCUGGCUGGAUUGAUGGAGAGCCCUGUGGAUCUUGUCUUGCUCUCAGUUGCACUUCUUCUCAGGCUGAACUGUAAUUGUUUCGGACAGGACUAGCUGAACGAUUGGUUCCCUUAAAUCAGAACCAACCCGGGAACUCCAGCUAGUGCGCUCUUCGAGCUGAAAUUGUGCUCUUCAGUUGAGGCGGUAAGGAAACCUUCACUGGGGCUUCAAGGUGUAAAGAGGAGAAUGUUUCAAAGUGUUCCAUGGUACUCUGAUGAAGACCGUUGUUGUGUUCCACUGGCUGCGAGGAAGAACCCACACAUCUUCCUCUUGGCCUUUCUCCUCUGAGAAUCCUGGCGCCAUCUUGAAGGAUAUUCCAGCUCAUGUAACUGAUGUCACGACAGAUUCUCAAACAUUUCGUUUCUCCUGAGGGGCGUGUCUAUGGAACUGAAGACUUCAGACAGCACUGUAUCCCAGCAUGCAUCUCUGCUCACUCAGACCACACCCCCAUGAGUAGGAUGCAACACUCUAGUGAUGGAGAUGUAGAGUUUUAUAAAUAACGAGGGAGCAGACUAAGGUGAUUGGAACACAAUGGAAUGUCAAGUCUGUACAUUUUUAAGCCAUGAAGAUGGUUGGAUAGUUCAGGAAUUGGGCUUCUUUUUAUUAUGGGCAGUCCUUUCAGAUGCCCACUUCUCACUGGAGCUGUACAUGUGUUGGCUGGCAUGAUUCGCUGUUGGUGAUGAGGCGGUCAGGGUGACGUUACAGGGCUAUGGUCGGCUCUCUGUGAGCUCAACGUUUAGAUUUGCUCUGUAUGGUUUGUACCCUGAAUAAUCUAGAUAAUUGUAAAAUGUAGACACGGAUUUGUAUUGAAUGAUUCCCGGUUUUUAGGUUUAAGGUUGUUGUGGGACGUACAUGGUAGUUUGGUUCUUCGUAUGGUUUUGAGUGAUAUAACUUGUGCACACUGGGUGCAUAAUAAUGUAAAGGUACACUGAAUAUUAUCAAUGACCAACAGCAACAAACGGAUCUCCUCAAGGUAAGUCUGUUGGCUGUGUUUUAAUGAAGACCAUCGCUGGACUUCAGGAUCUUCCUCCGUUCAGCUCAAGGUGAGGCGCUGGUUAUGUUUUUUCUUUGGUUGGUUCCGGCCGGAAUGUUCGUAUUCCAGUCGGACGGUUUGUGCUUCCCGCCGUGGAAGGUUCUGAGUGCGGUCACUUGAUUUAGUCCCAAUGGUUAGCAUAGAACGUUGUAGUCUUGACAACCAUAAGAAACCACCUGGCAGUUAGUUUGACGGGAGUCCCCUGAGGGAAUCUGGCGGAACGUUCUUGAUUGUAUUUGAGUAACCUCGAAGCGUUGCCAACGGAAACAAUUUUUUCAGUCGGUUUCCAUUGGGAAUUGUUGCCCCCUAUCUUAAACAACUAAAGUUUGAUAUUAAAUACAUACUGAGACGUACGUCGUACAAUACGUUGAUAAUUUCCGAUGGUUGCGCCGUACUUUUAACCACGAUGACGUUGCGGGACUCUCACUGCGUUCAAAACCGCGUUCUACUUGCGGGCCCAUUUUUAACAUCAGUGAAGGCUGAAAAUCAUUUCAAGGUGGAAGAUAAUUUGACAUUUCUUCAACGGAACCCAGCACCUGAAUAUGGCUGAGUAUAUUUGAUUUAAUAUCGAUACUGCUUAGUGUUCUUUUAUUACUUCAGCUUUUGUACGUUCUAAAUAUCUGCUGUCAUUAAUUGCCACAGAAGUUAAACCCUACCCAAUGGAAUGACGUUAACCCACGACUUUGGUGCAGAGUUACCAACUGGAUAAUAUCAAAGCUAAAAUAAUGGCCGUCAUUCCCACAUGUUACAGUAGAAGAUACUCUAGAACUGUACAAGGUUAAAAAGGUAACGUGUAGUUUGUCCCAAGGUGUCUGCCUCCUCACCCAGAGCCAGACCUCCACCUCCUCACCCAGAGCCAGACCUCCACCUCCUCACCCAGAGCCAGACCUCCACCUCCUCACCCAGAGCCAGACCUCCACCUCCUCACCCAGAGCCAGACCUCCACCUCCGGUCAGAAGUCCUCCAGAACAGCUGAAAGGCGAGGCUGAGAGGCUGGGGACCAGAGGCUUGUGGUGCCAGGAUGGACCGGAGACUGAGACUGGAGACCAGGGGCCUGCAGCACCGGACCAGAGGACCAGGAAUCUUGAGGACUGAUGGAGAAGCCGUACAUCUGGAAGGCAAAUCCUGAGGACCACCAGGAAUCUACCAUCAAGGAUUCCUCAUAAAUGUGCAGUAUCUGGACAUAGUGGACCAGGUAGGGGGUUGGGGGUUCAACUCUCAAACCAAUGGUGCCGGGUUCAAGCCCUCAGAAUACAGUGAUGCGUCCUUGAGCAAGGCGCCCUAAAGCCUGCCUGCUCCUUAAUGACUUAUCUUUGGUUCAGAUAAUGUUGUAUCUUUUGAAUAUUGAACCUAAUCAUUGUCCUUGUUUGGUCCGAGCAGACACACCUGAACUGAACCUCACCUGAUCCUGUUUGGUCGGGGGUAGACACACCUGAGCUAAACCCGCCCUGAUCCUGACAUCCUGCUGGUCCCGUCUCCUCAGUUCAUCUGAGCCUCGUCCUCCAGAAGACCUGCUGAGCUCAGCAGUCUGAGGCUGAUGGAUCAAUGACCUCCAGUGGGAGUGUUCUUCUUGACCCCACAUGUAACCGUGUGCUUCCACACGCCUUUCCCUCACGUCUGUCACUAACCUCACUACUUCACUACUCUCUACUGCUUCCUCUUCUUUUUCCUUCUCUGUGGUUCGAACCUUUACACGGAAGGCGCGUCUUCCUGCCCUCAGAGGGUUUAGCGUUAGGGUUGAGAGUCAGGGUUUAGAGUCAGGGACAGAGCUGGUCAGGGAGGACUGCUUUUACACAAACCUCUUCACUUGCUUUCGGUAUGGUGGUGACAUUUUGGAAAGAUUAAUUUGGGAAAAUGUUUUCCUCUGCUUUCCUUUACAAAAUUGUAUCAAACUUAUGUCAAGUGUUUAUAUAUUAAAAUCCCACAUUGACUUCUACAUGUUUGUGACGGUUCAUUUAAUUGUCCUUUAACUUGGUUAAUGUCAAGCUAAACUCCCGCAAUACAUUUAAUAUACAUGAUUGUUAUUCUGCAAUGUUCACAUAAUCCAUUUUGUAAAAAUAUGAAACCUCCAUAUUAGCCUACUACUGG